UUUUUGAAUAAAAAUGUCGUUUUAUAUACAAAACACUUGGAAUGGACAUCGUUCAGUGCGAGGAAUUUGUACAGCCUCAUAAAAUUUUUCAAAAUUUUGCCGUUUUGGGUUAAAAAAUUACGAUUUGGGGUCUUAGAGCAGAAUUUUGAGAAUUUCACCUAGAUAAUGCCGAAAAUUUGAAAAUUUGAAUAUUUUAUGAAGAAAAAAAUAUCAAAACAUGAACAAAACUGUGAACAUGGUGUUAGUGAAUGAAAUAAAUACACAAAUAACUAUAAACAAGUUUUUAUUGACAUUUAUUAUGAAGGUCUCCCACUUGAGUAAAAGUAGCCAGGGAAGCCAUCGUCUCAGAGUAGCUUCUGUCUGGGCAGCAAUCAGUGAAAGGGUUAAG
rnacentral:lncRNA from 1 species